rnacentral:misc_RNA from 1 species
GAAGUGCGAUAAGCAAUGCGAAUUGCAGAACCGUGAGUCAUCGAAUCUUUGAACGCACCUUGCGCUCCUUGGUAUUCCUUGGAGCAUGCCUGUUUGAGUAUCAUGAAAUCUUCAAAGUAAAUCUUUUGUUAACUCAAUUGGUUUCUACUUUGGUAUUGGAGGUCUUUGCAGCUUCACACCUGCUCCUCUUUGUUCAUUAGCUGGAUCUCAGUGUUAUGCUUGGUUCCACUCGGCGUGAUAAGUUAUCUAUCGCUGAGGACACUGUAAAAGGUGGCCAAGGUAAAUGCAGAUGAACCGCUUCUAAUAGUCCAUUGACUUGGACAAUACUUUUAUGAUCUGAUCUCAAAUCAGGUAGGACUACCCGCUGAACUUAAGC